GGGCCCGCACAAGCGGCGGAGCAUGUGGCUUAAUUCGAGGCAACGCGAAGAACCUUACCUGGGUUUGACAUGUAGGGAAAAGCCGUAGAGAUACGGUGUCCUUCGGGGCCUUACACAGGUGGUGCAUGGCUGUUGUCAGCUCGUGUCGUGAGAUGUUGGGUUAAGUCCCGCAACGAGCGCAACCCUUGUCCUAUGUUGCCAGCGGGGUAAUGCCGGGGACUCGUAGGAGACUGCCGGGGUCAACUCGGAGAAGGUGGGGAUGACGUCAAGUCAUCAUGCCCCUUACGUCCAGGGCUGCACACAUGCUACAAUGGCUGGUACAACGGGCUGCUAUCCCGCGAGGGGGACCCAAUCCCAAAAGCCAGUCUCAGUUCGGAUUGGAGUCUGCAACUCGACUCCAUGAAGUCGGAGUCGCUAGUAAUCCCGGAUCAGCAACGCCGGGGUGUAUACGUUCCCGGGCCUUGUACACACCGCCCGUCACACCACGAAAGUAGGUAACACCCGAAGCCGGUGGCCCAACCUUUUGGGAAGGAGCCGUCGAAGGUGGGAUCGGUGAUUGGGGGUG
rnacentral:rRNA from 1 species